CGAGGGUGCGAGCGUUAAUCGGAAUUACUGGGCGUAAAGCGCACGUAGGCGGCUUGGCAUGUCGGGUGUGAAAUCCCCGGGCUCAACCUGGGAACUGCAUCCGAAACUGCCUUGCUAGAGUAUGGGAGAGGGAAGUGGAAUUCCGGGUGUAGCGGUGAAAUGCGUAGAUAUCCGGAGGAACAUCAGUGGCGAAGGCGACUUCCUGGACUAACAUUGACGCUGAGGUGCGAAAGCGUGGGGAGCAAACCGGAUUAGAUACCCGAGUAGUCC
rnacentral:rRNA from 1 species